ensembl:lncRNA
ACCUUAGACAACUGAGGAAAAUGAGGGAGGAAAUGAGGCUCAGUACACACUCAAGGACAUUCGAUAAGCCCACUCCCGACUCCUUGCGACCCCAUGGACUGUAGCCCACCAGGCUCCUCUGUCAGUGGCCAGCAGAGUUGUUUACACUUUUUCUCAUUUUCUUCCUCCUGGACACAUGUCUCUUCACUUCCUUAUCCCACUUCAACACAAGCAGGGCGAUGUGACGCUCCGGCCAGUGAAACAUCAGUGAAGAUGCUAUGCGUCAUUUCCAGGUGACCAAGAGCAGAUGUUGACACCAGGGAAAGACCAGAGGGAACUGGAGGGGUGAUGGCCAAAAGGUCACAGCAGCACAGCCUACCCGUGGGUCCUUGAAGCUCCGGGGCAGCUGGGAUACUGAUGAAGGAUGCUCACCCCUCGGGAGCGCCUUGGCAGGAUGAAAGAAACAGAAGCUCACAGAAGAAGAGUCUGUAGCUCUACAACUGUUAAAUGACCAAACAGACACGGAAACCAAACUCUGAUCUGAAACCAGUACUUCCAGUUGCUUUACUGGCAUUUGUUACCCAGGAGAAGAACACAUUAAAAGGAGUUAAGUUGAAUCAGCCUUGGUUUUGUUUUCUGUAAAAGUAUUUUCAGAGAUAAUGUAUAUAUUCAGCCUUGUACCCAUUUGCAAGUAUUAAUAUGUGUGAUAAACUUGUUACUGGCCAGAAUUAUAGAAUAAGAGUGGGAUCCAAAGGAAAUGAGACAUAUCUAUUAUUAUUAUCAUGCUCAUUAUAGAACAAUUAAAAGUAAUUUUUAAAA